AGCAGCCGCGGUAAUUCCAGCUCCAAUAGCGUAUAUUAAAGUUGUUGCAGUUAAAAAGCUCGUAGUUGAACUUCAGGCCUGGCUGGAUGGUCCGCCUUCUGGGUGAGUACUGUCUGUGGUCGGGUCCUACCUUCUGGCGAAGCGUCAUGGCCUUAACCGGCCGUGGCGGGGAGCCAGGACUUUUACUGUGAAAAAUUAGAGUGUUCAAAGCAGGCACGCGCUUGAAUACAUUAGCAUGGAAUAAUGGAAUAGGACAGUGGUUCUAUUUGUUGGUUUCUAGGACCGUUGUAAUGAUUAAUAGGGAUAGUUGGGGGCAUUAGUAUUCAAUUGUCAGAGGUGAAAUUCUUGGAUUUAUUGAAGACUAACUACUGCGAAAGCAUUUGCCAAGGAUGUUUUCAUUAAUCAAGAACGAAAGUUAGGGGAUCGAAGACGAUCAGAUACCGUCGUAGU
rnacentral:rRNA from 1 species